AUAUUGCACAGCCUGGCGGGGAUGAGAAGCCCGGACCGGGGUUCGACUACUGGCGCAGCAGUUGGACAGACUGAGAGCACAGCGAACAGGCUGCCCGCAGGGCGAGCGAAGCGAGUCAAUCCCCGCCACACCGCCA
rfam:Escherichia coli ISC11, WGS project CBWP01000000 data, contig: c4